UCCUUUGGAAGGAGCGUCAACCGUGUGAUGAGGAUAAUGGACGGUGGAGAUUUCGACUUCCGAAAUCGCCGUCUUUUUGCGAGACGUGUUUUGCGGAAGAUCACUGUUGUUCUGAUAGCUGCCCACAAAUAACUCGUCGCUCAGUCCAGUCCAGUGCCAGACAGCAAUUCCAGGCGGCCGAGGGUAAAAUGUUUUCACUCUUUCUUUCUCUCUCUCUCUCACGCAGAUACACGCACUGUUAAUUAAGAAGAUGGAAUCAGGCAAGGAUUUGGUUAUGGCGAUUCAUUCGUAUGCGUAUGCGCUAUUAAUUGAAACAAAAGAAGAAGAUGGUGUAGCUGGUUAGGUUGCGAGCAUUGAAUUGAAUUUGUUUAGUAAUCUGAAGAUAAUAAUAAGGUAAUGAUGAAACGACACUGUUGAACAAUCGUUUCUGGCUGCUGUUGAUAUUGUUGUUGUUGUUGAUGGAGAGAAAGAAUCGAAUCACAUUUAUGAGAUUAGAGUCUUCUGUC